UUGACGGGCCAAACCAUCGCUAUAAAUUAGAUGAAUAUUUAUAGAGGAAAGUCCGGGCUCCAUAGAGUAUGACACCGGUUAAUUGCCGGGCCCGGUCUCCAGGGAGCUGGAAUUUUUUUCUAGUCACCUGGAGACCGGGACAGAAAGUGCCGCAGAAAAUAUACCGCCAUUUACAGCUUGUUUUUCAUCGUUGAUAAUGGUAAGGGUGAAAUGGUGAGGUAAGAGCUCACCGGAAAAGGGGCAACCUUUUUCGCAGGGUAAACCUUGUCAGGAGCAAAGCUAAGCAGCAGGGGAGUGACUCGCUCGUAUUCCUGCGGGUAGGCUGCGAGAACCUGUUGAAAAAACAGGUCCAGAUAGAUGAUGGUUAGUACAGAACCCGGCUUAUUGGCCCGUUUUUUUU
rnacentral:RNase_P_RNA from 1 species